rnacentral:rRNA from 1 species
UACGUAGGGGGCUAGCGUUGUCCGGAUUUAUGGCGUAAAGAGCGUGUAGGCGGCCUAGGUAGGUCUGCUGUGAAACUCCGGAGGCUCAACCGAUCGAGAUGUCGGCGGAAACCAUCUGGCUAGAGUCCGGAAGAGGGAAAGUGGAAGUUCCUGGGUGUAGGCGGUGAAAUGACGCAGAUAUCAGGAAGGAACACCCGUGGCGAAGGCGGACGUCCUCCUGGGGACGGUACUGACGCUGAGACGCGAAAGCGUGGGGAGCGAACAGG